CUGCGAAUGGCUCAUUAUAUAAGUUAUCGUUUAUUUGAUAGUACCUUACUACUUGGAUAACCGUGGUAAUUCUAGAGCUAAUACAUGCUAAAAAUCCCGACUUCGGAAGGGAUGUAUUUAUUAGAUACAAAACCAAUGCCCCUCGGGGCUCUCUGGUGAUUCAUGAUAACUCGUCGAAUCGCACGGCCUUGCGCCGGCGAUGGUUCAUUCAAAUUUCUUCCCUAUCAACUUUCGAUGUUUGGGUAGUGGCCAAACAUGGUGGCAACGGGUAACGGAGGGUUAGGGCUCGACCCCGGAGAAGGAGCCUGAGAAACGGCUACUACAUCCAAGGAAGGCAGCAGGCGCGCAAAUUACCCAAUCCCGAUACGGGGAGGUAGUGACAAUAAAUACUGAUACAGGGCUCUUUUGGGUCUUGUAAUUGGAAUGAGUACAAUUUAAAUCCCUUAACGAGGAACAAUUGGAGGGCAAGUCUGGUGCCAGCAGCCGCGGUAAUUCCAGCUCCAAUAGCGUAUAUUAAAGUUGUUGUGGUUAAAAAGCUCGUAGUUGAAUCUUGGGCCUGGCUGGCCGGUCCGCCUCACCGCGUGUACUGGUCCGGCCGGGUCUUUCACUCUGCGGAACCACAUGCCCUUCAGUGGGUGUGGCGGGGAAGCAGGACGUUUACUUUGAAAAAAUUAGAGUGCUCUAAGCAGGCCAAUGCUCGAAUACAUUAGCAUGGAAUAAUAAAAUAGGACGCGCGGUUCUAUUUUGUUGGUUUCUAGGACCGCCGUAAUGAUGAAUAGGGACAGUCGGGGGCAUCAGUAUUCAGUUGUCAGAGGUGAAAUUCUUGGAUCUACUGAAGACUAACUACUGCGAAAGCAUUUGCCAAGGAUGUUUUCAUUAAUCAGGAACGAAAGUUAGGGGAUCGAAGACGAUCAGAUACCGUCGUAGUCUUAACCAUAAACUAUGCCGACUAGGGAUCGGACGAUGUUAUUUAGUUGACUCGUUCGGCACCUUACGAGAAAUCAAAGUGC
rnacentral:rRNA from 1 species